rfam:Clonorchis sinensis DNA, scaffold: 1192, strain: Henan.
CGUGCGUUGGUGGAGUGGUGGUAACACGCUCGCCUCGCAUGUCAGAGGUUCGGGGUUCAAAUCCCAGCACGG